GACCUUUCCGGUAAUUACGUCACGACUAACACUGUUUUCAACUUAGGACCACCUUAAAUGGAAUGGAUUUUAAGUUUGUUUCUCACGGGCUAUGGUCAGAGAAGCAGAACAUCCUUCUUCAACACAUGCAUAAAAAGAAUUUUGGAUUUUGACCAAUAAAUGUGGAAAUAAGCUUAAACACACGAAAACGAGGCUGAGGGACCAUGGGCCCCUCUUGGGGGAAUAGCCUGUGAGAAACAAACUUGAAAUCUAUUCCA